rnacentral:tRNA from 1 species
GAAAUCAGGGAGCUUUAAAUUGAGUUACUUAGAUUUUGAGUUGGCAGCAAUUUAUAAUUUGCAAUUAUAAGAGGUAUAAAUGAAUAUAAAAUCUA